ACAAUCGGUAUCUCUUACCCUCGACAUCACACAAACCUUUCCACCCAAAACUCCCACCACAUUCAACCGAUCUCCAAAGCAACAUGUUCUUAAAGAAUCUGGAAAAGGUAUCUCCUUGAAUCUCUCUGAACACAAAUCAAAUGCCAAUAUCAAUUGUGUCAACUUCCCACCAAUAUAAGUAUAACAAAACCAAUGAAGAUGGCCUUCAUGCCCAUCUACACAAACUAAAUCUAGAUCUCUAAUGCAUUGCAGGUGUGAUGGAAUUCUUUGAGAUACCAACUCCCAGGAACCUUUACCUUUUCUCAGGCUAUAAACCUCAACUGGUGCUAUUCUUCGUGGGUCGAAAAGCUCUGUAAGCUUAACAACUUUGUAAUCAUCGGUUUUGGGAUCAUACCCAAACAGGAAAUUGAUAUUUCUUGAUUCAGAGGAGGAGCCCAUGGAACAUGGCGGAAGAGUUAAGAAAGCGGAGAGAGAAUGGUUCUGAAUACAAAC
rnacentral:lncRNA from 1 species